rnacentral:rRNA from 1 species
CUUGAACGCUGGCGGCAGGCCUAACACAUGCAAGUCGAACGAGUGGCGGACGGGUGAGUAAUGUCUGGGACACUGCCUGAUGGAGGGGGAUAACUACUGGACACUGUAUCUAAUACCGCAUACCCUCGGAUGUGCCCAGAUGGGAUUAGCUAGUAGGUGGGGUAACGGCUCCCCUAGGCGACGAUCCCUAGCUGGUCUGAGAGGAUGACCAGGCACAAUGGAACUGAGACACGGUCCAGAAGCCUACGGGAGGCAGAAGUGGGGAAUAUUGCACAAUGGGCGAAAGCCUGAUGCAGCCAUGCCGCGUGUAUGAAGAAGGCCUUCGGGUUGUAAAGUACUUUCAGCGGGGAGGCGUUACCCGCAGAAGAAGCACCGGCUAACGCCGUGCCAGCAGCCGCGGUAAUUC